GCUGGUUAUGAACGAGCCUCGAACGACGGCGUACAGACUGGUGAUGAUAACGACGCACGCCUCCAUCCUCUUUCACUGAGUUUGCGACCAUCAACUCAGAUCUCGCCGGUGACGUCCCCGCCGCCGCUUCGUCUAGCAGUGGCACCACCAUCAGCUGCUGCUCUCUCUACCACCGUCUGAACCUCCAGAGCCCCCAAUCCCUCCAGACCCACCAAUCGGAACCAUAGGAGAUAUUGAGGAAGUUCUCGGAGAAGAACACUCGGCGCUCAGGGACUUACUUAUGCGUUGACAAAGGAGUUACUUAUGUUGUCAUUAAGAAAUGGAAGUGGAUGAUAUAACUAUGCACACAUGCUACGAAGGUGGACUUGAGACAAGUAGGUUUCUGAGAAGCAGAGUUGGAAAUGGUUGUGGACUGGUAAUUGGUCCACACAAUAACAAGAAGAAAGAAGGAUCCAGAAUUCAUCAAAAACAUCUCUUGUUUGUUUUUAAGUUUUGUAUGACACAGAAUUCUCCGAGAACAGCUUGCUAGUUGCUAAGUCUUCCGGCAAUGAUCAUGUGGCGGCUUCAACUACGGAUAAAGCUGUAGCUAAACUGCCAAAUGCACCAGUUUUCUCAUGUUAAGUCCGGUUUAGAUAAAAGUAUGGUGCUUUGAUUGUUACGACAGCAGAGAGGGAGCUUGGAACCAUGAGCUUGAUUCAUUGACACAGGUUGAUCUCAACAACUUCGAAGUUUCUUUGCUUUCAUUUUAGUGGUUUGCCUUUUCCUUAUGUGAGAAAGUGGGGUUAUGGUUAUUGUGGGAACCGAAAUUCACACCGUCGAGUUUU